CCUACGGGCGGCAGCAGUGGGGAAUAUUGCACAAUGGGCGCAAGCCUGAUGCAGCCAUGCCGCGUGUGUGAAGAAGGCCUUCGGGUUGUAAAGCACUUUCAGCGGGGAGGAAGGCGUUAAGGUUAAUAACCUUGUCGAUUGACGUUACCCGCAGAAGAAGCACCGGCUAACUCCGUGCCAGCAGCCGCGGUAAUACGGAGGGUGCAAGCGUUAAUCGGAAUUACUGGGCGUAAAGCGCACGCAGGCGGUCUGUCAAGUCGGAUGGGAAAUCCCCGGGCUCAACCUGGGAACUGCAUUCGAAACUGGCAGGCUAGAGUCUUGUAGAGGGGGGUAGAAUUCCAGGUGUAGCGGUGAAAGGCGUAGAGAUCUGGAGGAAUACCGGUGGCGAAGGCGGCCCCCUGGACAAAGACUGACGCUCAGGUGCGAAAGCGUGGGGAGCAAACAGGAUUAGAUACCCGGGUAGUC
rnacentral:rRNA from 1 species